AUUGAACGCUGGCGGCAUGCCUUACACAUGCAAGUCGAACGGCAGCACGGGUGCUUGCACCUGGUGGCGAGUGGCGAACGGGUGAGUAAUACAUCGGAACAUGUCCUGUAGUGGGGGAUAGCCCGGCGAAAGCCGGAUUAAUACCGCAUACGAUCUACGGAUGAAAGCGGGGGACCUUCGGGCCUCGCGCUAUAGGGUUGGCCGAUGGCUGACUAGCUAGUUGGUGGGGUAAAGGCCUACCAAGGCGACGAUCAGUAGCUGGUCUGAGAGGACGACCAGCCACACUGGGACUGAGACACGGCCCAGACUCCUACGGGAGGCAGCAGUGGGGAAUUUUGGACAAUGGGCGAAAGCCUGAUCCAGCAAUGCCGCGUGUGUGAAGAAGGCCUUCGGGUUGUAAAGCACUUUUGUCCGGAAAGAAAUCCUUGGCCCUAAUACGGUCGGGGGAUGACGGUGCCGGAAGAAUAAGCACCGGCUAACUACGUG
rnacentral:rRNA from 1 species